AACUUUUAACAACGGAUCUCUUGGUUCUCGCAUCGAUGAAGAACGUAGCAAAGUGCGAUAACUAGUGUGAAUUGCAUAUUCAGUGAAUCAUCGAGUCUUUGAACGCAUCUUGCGCUCAAUGGUAUUCCAUUGAGCACGCCUGUUUCAGUAUCA
rnacentral:rRNA from 1 species